AAACAGACUCCGGCCUAGAUAGAAGAGCCACUCCCACUAUCAUUUAAUCUCACAAAUAUCCCCUUCACCAAAAAAUUCUGAGGAACAAUCUUUGGUUAUCCAGAAGCCAUCGCACCACCUGCAUCAUCAUCUUCACCAUCCCCACCACAGUUCAGAGCCACCAUCUCUACCAGCUAAUCAUACUCUAGAUUUAGACCCUCUCCCCUUCGCCAUCCCUCUUAUGCUAGGAAAUGAGCUGAUCUAUUCGCCUCUCGGGGGGCAUAAACAAUCUCACACUUUUUAAAUCUUCGUCUGACAGUUCUAAUGUCUUGAAUAUAAGCCCCGAUGGCCGACCUAUCAACGCUUUCUUUAUCACAGAGAGAGAAUCCCCUUCCACCACCACCCUUUGGAAACCGAGAUCCACCCCCAGGCUGAGUGCUUGAAGGCAUGCAAGGGUACCCACUUGCCAGCCCAGCCCCUCCAGCAACAGACCCUUUGCAGACCAUAUACUUUUCCAGGUAUAAGAUGGCCUAUGACGAAUGCACUCCGAACGUCUCAUUGAGGUCAACUGAUUAAAUGGGGAUCAUUUGACUCACUUGAACUCGAUGAGGAGCAACUUAGGGAAUUUGUGGUAAAGUCUCUUGAUUCCAGGAAGCAAUGCAAAGGGUGUUCAAUUCCACUGGGUAUGGGUUGGCAGUGAGGGAUGAUGCUCUUAAGACUAUGGUGAUGACUUUGAAGGAACAAAUUGAGAAGCUCAAGGAGGAGCUCAUUAUCUGCAAAGCUAUUUUGGGUAAUGGGAUGUUGGCUAUGAGACCCAAACAUAAGGUGGAUGUUCCAAAGUUGAAAGAGUUUGAUGAUGAGGUUUGUAAGACAUGUGGACAACUUCUUAUGGGGAAUGGAGCAAUUCUUUCAUACUGGAGGCAUCACGGAUGAUGUUACCAAGGUAAAUACUGUUGCUAUGUAUUUCACUAAUGUUGCUCUUUUAUGGUGGUGUCGUAGGUUCACAGAUAAGAAACGUGGAGGAGCUGCAAUUGGGACUUGGGAGGAGUUUCAAAAGGAUUUUUAAAGGCAAAUUUUUCAAGAGCAUGUCCAGGAUGAGGCUUAGGCUAAGUUGCGCUGGCUUAUGCAAUAAGACAUAGUUAGGACGUAUGUACGAGAUUUCAGUGAACUCAUGCUUUAGAUUUUUGAUUUGGGUAAAAAUGAGACAUUUUUCUAUUUUAUGGAUGGGUUGAAGCCAUGAGUAGAGCAAGAGUUGCAAUGUCAAGGAUUCAAGGAACAUACCAAAGCCGUGACCAUAGUGGAGUUCUUAAUUAAUCUUGUUCUGAGGAAAGACAAGUUUGAGUAGUCCAAGCCUAAGAAGAAGGGAAAUGGUGGGGGAGAUGAAUAAGGAUUGGUUAAAAACAACAAUGAUGGCAAUGAGAAAUCACCUAACGGGAAGUGGAGACCUAAGAACCAUUUGAGGGACAAGGAAAAUGAAAAGAAGCUAAUACAAUGCUUCUUAUGUAGAUAGUGUGAGAUUGCCCACAAUGAUCUAUGUUUUUCACAACCUGUAAAGAUGACAAAGCGGAGCCUGAUGAAGAGAGGGUAUUGAGGCUUGGAUCAAUGAUACUCAAUUUUGCUAAAGUGAAGAGGGAUUGUAAGUAGAAAGGGUUGAUGUUUGUGGGUAUCAACAUCACAAGCUAAAUAAGGAGUGCUAUUGUUGAUACGGGGGCAUUUGAUUUGUUCAUAUCAGAGAAAGCGAUGGGUAAACUUGGUCUCUUAGUUAGCAAAUUGACUAAGAGGAUUAAGACUGUAAAUUCUAAAGAGGUCCUAAUUGUGGGAGUAGCACAAGGAGUUUGAGUUCCAGAUCGGGCAAUGGAAAGACAAAGAGGACUUAGAGAUAAUUCACUUGUAUAGUUAUGACUUUGUUCUUAGCUUAAAUUUCUUUGACAAGAUUAAUGAUCUAUUGGUUCUUUUUGUUGAUUAUAUAUGUAUCUUGGAUAGUUGGCAACAAAAAUGCAUUUUGUUGAUGAGUCGAGACAUGAGAGGUGGAAUCAAGGUAUUGUCGGCAAUUCAGCUAGCUAAAGAUGUUUCGUGUGGUAAGAAUAUUGACUUGGUAGAUCGGUGUGCUACGAAGACCCUAUUGGAAAUGCUCGAGGUACAUAAAAUAGAUAUAAAGCCUGUUGAGUUAUCAGUGGGGCUACCACUUAUGAAAGAUGUAACAACCCAUUUUUUAGUGAUACUGGAAAUGAUAGUUUCGAAACCCUGUAUUCUAACGAUCGAGUUAGUAAAUAUUAUUUAUUAGUAUUUAUGAGUU